rnacentral:rRNA from 1 species
CAGCCGCCACGGGAAAACGAUGGGGGCUAGCGUUGCUCGGAAUGACUGGGCGUAAAGGGCGCGUAGGCGGACUGAUAAGUCAGGGGUGAAAUCCCAAGGCUCAACCUUGGAACUGCCUUUGAUACUGUUUGUCUUGAGUUCGAGAGAGGUAAGUGGAACUGCGAGUGUAGAGGUGAAAUUCGUAGAUAUUCGCAAGAACACCAGUGGCGAAGGCGGCUUACUGGCUCGAAACUGACGCUGAGGCGCGAAAGCGUGGGGAGCAAACAGGAUUAGAUACCCCGGUAGUCCCUGUCUCUUAUAC